CACGACCAUGGUGCUCUGGAUGUGCGCCACACCAGGCCAUGGCCUGUGCCUCCUCUAUACGUAGGUAGGAGAAAGGUCAGGAUGGGCUGGGCAAAAAGCACUGUAGCAGCAUAGAGCCCAUCUAUAUAGUAACGUUUUAGUAUUUUCUUUUUCUUUUGUUUAAUUUCUGCUUUAGUAUUUCUAUUUUGUUUUGGCUUUAUUUACAACACCAUUUAGCUUUUGUAAAAUAUGUGACCUAGUCCAUUAUUCACAUUGCAAUAUUGAGCACGACCACACAAAGUUUG
rnacentral:lncRNA from 1 species